CAGUCGCCGCGGUAAUACGAGGGGGGCAAGCGUUGUUCGGAAUUAUUGGGCGUAAAGGGUGCGUAGGCGGUUUGGCAAGUCUUGUGUGAAAUCUUCGGGCUCAACCCGAAGCCUGCACGAGAAACUACCGGGCUAGAGUAUGGGAGAGGUGAGUGGAAUUUCCGGUGUAGCGGUGAAAUGCGUAAAUAUCGGAAGGAACACCUGUGGCGAAAGCGGCUCACUGGACCAUAACUGACGCUGAGGCACGAAAGCUAGGGGAGCAAACAGGAUUAGAUACCCCUGUGUCCCUGUCUCUUAUACA
rnacentral:rRNA from 1 species